rnacentral:rRNA from 1 species
UACAGAGGAUGCAAGCGUUAUCCGGAAUGAUUGGGCGUAAAGCGUCUGUAGGUGGCUUUUUAAGUCCGCCGUCAAAUCCCAGGGCUCAACUCUGGACAGGCGGUGGAAACUACCAAGCUGGAGUACGGUAGGGGCAGAGGGAAUUUCCGGUGGAGCGGUGAAAUGCGUAGAGAUCGGGAGGAACACCAGUGGCGAAGGCGGCUACCUGGACCAGCACUGACACUGAGGCAUGAAAGCGUGGGGAGCAAACAGG